rnacentral:lncRNA from 12 species
GGAAAGUUCAGUUUUGUUUUGUUGGCUUUUUUUAUUCCCCUAGGGUGGUUGUGGCAGAGGAAAUAUUUUUAUCCAGGCCUCAGGAAACGGUGGUCUGGCUGCAGUGGUGCGGAUGGUUACAUGAACAGAAUUUGCUCAGGGCAAAGCCUGCCAUCACUUACAUCUGCCCCCAAACUCCUGGACUGCAAGAGCUGAUGUCAAUAUCCACCUGGAAAUAUCCAGUGAGGAAGGGCUGUGGAAGCUGCUACCCUGAAACAACCCUGCAAGCCCAAGCGAGCUUUCUGAUCAAACACUUGGAAGCAUCACCAGUUUGUCUUGGUAACAGCUCUGCCACAUGGGAGAAGUCACCUUAUCAAUAUCAAGGAAGGCAAUCAAGCUUACCAAAGAUCAUAAGCAAGCUGCUGUGGAGCUAUUACUUGUAGGAAAGAAAACUAAAGGUCUGCGGUCUUUCAAAGUGUCAUUGCUACUAACUGGAGCUUCAUAGAGGAAG